UACGUAGGGUGCGAGCGUUGUCCGGAAUUAUUGGGCGUAAAGGGCUCGUAGGCGGUUUGUCGCGUCGGGAGUGAAAAUCCAGGGCUUAACUCUGGACUGGCUUCCGAUACGGGCAGACUAGAGGUAUGCAGGGGAGAACGGAAUUCCUGGUGUAGCGGUGAAAUGCGCAGAUAUCAGGAGGAACACCGGUGGCGAAGGCGGUUCUCUGGGCAUUACCUGACGCUGAGGAACGAAAGUGUGGGGAGCGAACAGG
rnacentral:rRNA from 1 species